rnacentral:rRNA from 1 species
GAUGAACGCUGGCGGCGUGCCUAAUACAUGCAAGUCGAGCGAACAGAUGAGGAGCUUGCUCCUCUGACGUUAGCGGCGGACGGGUGAGUAACACGUGGAUAACCUACCUAUAAGACUGGGAUAAUUACGGAAAGCCGGAUAUACUACUGGCAAAUAUAUUGAACGGCUGGAUUAAUUGGUUCAUCAGGGUUUGCCUGUACCUAUUAGCCGAUUCCGCGCCGCAUUAGCUAGUUGGUAAGGUAACGCCUUACCAAGGAAACGAUGCGUAGCCGACCUGAGAGGGUGAUCGGCCACACUGGAACUGAGACACGGUCCAGACUCCUACGGGAGGCAGCAGUAGGGAAUCUUCCGCAAUGGGCGAAAGCCUGACGGAGCAACGCCGCGUGAGUGAUGAAGGUCUUCGGAUCGUAAAGCUCUGUUAUUAGGGAAGAACAAAUGUGUAAGUAACUAUGCAUGUCUUGACGGUACCUAAUCAGAAAGCCACGGCUAACUACGUG